rnacentral:rRNA from 1 species
UGGGGAAUAUUGCGCAAUGGGGGAAACCCUGACGCAGCAACGCCGCGUGAGCGAUGAAGGCCUUCGGGUUGUAAAGCUCUGUCAGGAGGGACGAAAUGCUCCGGUUGAAUAGGCCGGAGAGCUGACGGUACCUCCAAAGGAAGCCCCGGCUAACUCCGUGCCAGCAGCCGCGGUAAUACGGAGGGGGCGAGCGUUGUUCGGAAUUAUUGGGCGUAAAGAGCACGUAGGCGGCGCGGUAAGUCCAUUGUGAAAGCCCUCGGCUUAACCGAGGAAGUGCAGUGGAAACUGCCGUGCUUGAGUGCGGGAGAGGAGAGUGGAAUUCCCGGUGAAGCGGUGAAAUGCGUAGAUAUCGGGAAGAACACCAGUGGCGAAAGCGGCUCUCUGGACCGUCACUGACGCUGAGGUGCGAAAGCUGGGGGAGCGAACGGGAUUAGAUACCCCCGUAGUCC